CUUCUUGAUCUCCAAGAGCAGCUGAUCUGCGGACCUGAGAGACCGAUAGGGCAUGUAGGGGUGAAGAAGCUCAGAGAGGUAAGCCGGGGCAAGAUUAUGCAGUGAUUUAAAAACAAACAUAAGAAUUUUAAAAUUAAUCCUAAAAUAUACAGGCAGCCAGUGAAGUGAGGCCAGGACAGGGGUCACAUGUUCCCUCUUUCGAGUUCCUGUCCUAAGUGGUGCAGCAGCAUCUGAACCAGCUGCAGACGUGAGAGCAGCGACUGACUGACUCCUAGAUAUAGUGAGUUACAGUAAUCCAGUCGAGUCAAAAUAAAAGCGUGGAUCACUGUUUCAAAAUGCUGCUUGGAAAGAAAAGAUUUCACUGACGCCAAAUGAUAAAAGCUGGACUUAACCACGGCUCUGAUUUGGCUGUCCAAUUUAAAAUCACUGUCCACCUUAAAACCAAGACCUGUAAUAACAGGUUUAAAAUAAACCUCCAAAGGUCCCAGGUCCACAGAGGAGGACUCACAGGAGCCACUGGCUCCAAACACCAUCACCUCUGUUUUGUUUUCAUUAAAAUUUAAAAAGUUCAAGGCCAAACAAGCUUUAAUAUCACCUGGACAUGCCAGGAGAUAUUUGUACAUCCUUCUGCUUCGGGGGCAAAUAACUCUGACAAUCAUCAGCGUAACAAUGAAAUGAAAUCCCAUGUUUCCUGAGGACAGAACCCAGAGGCAGUAAAUACAAAGAGAAAAGCAGUGGGCCCAGAAUUGAGCCCUGUGGGACACCAUAAGGCAUUGAAGCAGCAGAUGAUUCAGAGUCACUAAUUUUGACUGAAAUUGUUCUCUCCUCCAGGUAAGACCUGAACCAUUUAAGAACAGUGCCACCAAUACCUACAACGUGGUGUAAUCGCGAUAUUAAAAUGUGGUGGUCUACUGUAUCAAAGGCAGCAGUUAGGUCAAGUAAAAUCAGAACAACAUGGUUACCAGAAUCACAUGCAAGAAGGAUGUCAUUAAAAACUCUUAUUAAAGCAGAUUCUGUGCUAUGAAGAGUUUUAAAACCUGACUG